CGAGUGGCGAACGGGUGAGUAAUGCAUCGGAACGUACCCAGCCGUGGGGGAUAACGUAGCGAAAGUUACGCUAAUACCGCAUACGACCUACGGGAGAAAGCAGGGGAUCGCAAGACCUUGCGCGAUUGGAGCGGCCGAUGUCAGAUUAGCUAGUUGGUGGGGUAAAGGCCUACCAAGGCGACGAUCUGUAGCGGGUCUGAGAGGAUGAUCCGCCACACUGGAACUGAGACACGGUCCAGACUCCUACGGGAGGCAGCAGUGGGGAAUUUUGGACAAUGGGCGAAAGCCUGAUCCAGCCAUUCCGCGUGAGUGAUGAAGGCCUUCGGGUUGUAAAGCUCUUUCGGCCGGGAAAAAAUCGCACGGGUUAAUACCCUGUGUGGAUGAUGGUACCGGACUAAGAAGCACCGGCUAACUACGUGCCAGCAGCCGCGGUAAUACGUAGGGUGCGAGCGUUAAUCGGAAUUACUGGGCGUAAAGCGUGCGCAGGCGGAUGUUU
rnacentral:rRNA from 1 species